rnacentral:rRNA from 1 species
UUGCACGCUGGCGGCAGGCCUAACACAUGCAAGUCGCACGGUAACAGGAAGAAGCUUGCUUCUUUGCUGACGAGUGGCGGACGGGUGAGUAAUGUCUGGGAAACUGCCUGAUGGAGGGGGAUAACUACUGGAAACGGUAGCUAAUACCGCAUAACGUCGCAAGACCAAAGAGGGGGACCUUCGGGCCUCUUGCCAUCGGAUGUGCCCAGAUGGGAUUAGCUAGUAGGUGGGGUAACGGCUCACCUAGGCGACGAUCCCUAGCUGGUCUGAGAGGAUGACCAGCCACACUGGAACUGAGACACGGUCCAGACUCCUACGGGAGGCAGCAGUGGGGAAUAUUGCACAAUGGGCGCAAGCCUGAUGCAGCCAUGCCGCGUGUAUGAAGAAGGCCUUCGGGUUGUAAAGUACUUUCAGCGGGGAGGAAGGGAGUAAAGUUAAUACCUUUACUCAUUGACGUUACCCGCAGAAGAAGCACCGGCUAACUCCGUG